rnacentral:rRNA from 1 species
UACGUAGGGAGCAAGCGUUGUCCGGAAUCAUUGGGCGUAAAGCGCGCGUAGGUGGCUUCGUAAGUCCGUUGUGAAAGUCAAAGGCUCAACCUUUGAAAGCCGGUGGAUACUGUCGGGCUAGAGUGCGGAAGAGGCGAGUGGGAUUCCUGGUGUAGCGGUGAAAUGCGCAGAUAUCAGGAGGAACACCGGUGGCGAAGGCGGUUCUCUGGGCAUUACCUGACGCUGAGGAGCGAAAGUGUGGGGAGCGAACAGG